GGGGUUGAGACUCAGUGGUAGAGUGCUUGCCUAGCACACACGAGGUAUUGGGUUCGAUCCUCAGCACCACA
rnacentral:tRNA from 1 species